rnacentral:rRNA from 1 species
AUGAACGCUAGCGGCAGGCCUCAUACAUGCAAGUCGGACGGGAUUCAGGAGCUUGCUUCUGAUGAGAGUGGCGCACGGGUGCGUAACACGUAUGUAACCUACCUUUAUCAGGGGGAUAGCCUCUCGAAAGAGAGAUUAAGCCCGCAUAAAAUCACAGCACAGCAUUGUGUAAUGAUCAAAUAUUUAUAGGAUAAAGAUGGGCAUGCGGAACAUUAGCUAGAUGGCGGGGUAACGGCCCACCAUGGCGACGAUGUUUAGGGGAUCUGAGAGGAUGGCCCCCCACACUGGUACUGAGACACGGACCAGACUCCUACGGGAGGCAGCAGUAAGGAAUAUUGGUCAAUGGGCGGAAGCCUGAACCAGCCAUGCCGCGUGCAGGAAGACGGCCCUACGGGUUGUAAACUGCUUUUAUACGGGAAUAAACCCAGAUACGUGUAUCUGGCUGAAUGUACUGUAAGAAUAAGGAUCGGCUAACUCCGUG